ACACUUAAGAAUCUUUGUUUUCCGUGUGCUUAACGCAGUCAAACAGAGGUGGAAUGAAUUAGCUACUUCCAGAUGAGAAGUAGCCAAGUGCACGAAGGUAAAAGACCUGGAAUGACAGAGGCAAAUAGUGAUCAUCCGGGAAGCACAGCCAAAACACACACUCUGCACGCAGACCUUCAGCUCUCUGCUCCAUCGCCGGGCCCCAUAACACACUGACCCAACGGUGAGCACCGAGAGACAUCAGAGAGGAAAGCACACACGGCAUGUCCUGAAAUGUUUCCCCAGACAUGGAAACAUGGACAGCAAACAGCGACUGGAAUUCCGUGUAAACUAAAACCACAUACUGGAGUUGGAAUCAUCAUAUUGAGGAUUUCCAACAUGUGGAGUUUCCCAGAUCCCCCGACCCAAGCACUGGCAAGACUGGGAAUUGCUCAGAUACCUGCAAGAUGUACGGGACCCACUAUUUCAGCAAGACUGUGGAGCAAGUUUGCAACUGUUGCGGAACAUUGUUACACUUUAGUAGCAGUGAGCAUGGUGACAAAUCCAGCAAACAAUCAAGCUUAACGAAUGACUAUAGAUGCACCCGUCCUUAGCAACAACAAAAACAAAAAAUAUCUGGACCUGGAGAGUGACACAGAAAACUGAUGUCUAGAAAGACGGUGGUUCCGUAAAAUAAACAUUACAAUACUUAAUAAGGAAAUUCCAUCGAUUGAAAGUGGGAUACGGUCACUAGGUCGACAUGGAAAAAGGUCGACAUACGUUUUUUCCAUAUUUUUUUUUGCAUUUUUUGAACUUUUUCCUUCUUUAUGAUCCACGUGGACUACGAUUGGGAAUAGUAACCUGUGCUAAGCGCAGCAGUAGCAAAGCCAGGCACAUUGCCCGAAGCAUGGCGAGCGAAGAGAGGGGACACGGUGCACUAAUUGGGGUUCCCCGUCACUUUACGAUGAAAAUGACACCCAAAAAAGUUAAAAAACAAAAACAAAACUCAUGUCGACCUUUUUUUCAUGUCGACCUAAUCACUGUCGACCAAUAGUGGUCGACCUAAUGACUGUCACCCUAAUGCAUGUCGACACAUCGAACCACACCCACUGAAAGCUUACAGGUAUUGGUUGCUACGUACCCUCCUUCAACUUUUACUAAUCAUAUUGCUUUUCCCUUUCUGGCUGUCCGCUGCGCUUCAGUCAUGUUUUAAAUCAAAGGGGCAGAUGUAUUAAGCCUGGAGAAGUAUUAAAGUAGUGAUAAGUGCAAGGUGAUAACGCACCAGCCAAUCAGCUCCAAUAUGUAAAUUGACAGGAGCUGAUUGGCUGGUGUGUUAUUACUUUCCAUUUAUUACUUCUCCAGGCUUAAUACAUCUGCCCCAAAGUUACCUAUUUUUUCCCCACCCUUGAUAAGACGUACUGUAUCACCGCUGUUCUCUCUGCAUUAGCUAUCCAUAGAAGAUAGCUUUGGGUCCUAUUCAUGGCAACACAAAUAAAACUAUACCCAAAGCUAUAACACGUAGAUAUCAAACAUGAAUAAAUAAAACAUGCAGAGAAAAAGCCAUCUGUUCUCAGUAAUAGUUAUAGGAGGACAUGAUGCACAAGCCAAUAUACUGUACGUACAAACGGAUAUAUUCCGCAGCAGUAAACACAACAUGUAAUCACUAAUAGCCUGAGGAUUGUUCUUCACAGUAUUAACAGUUUGGCUUUUGUCUUUAUUACAUUUCCCUCAAACCCCUUCCCCACAGGGGUGUGGAUCAUCGGGUCAACCAUAUAUGGUCAACUGGGUCAAAAGGUCAACAGGAUCCAUAAGUCGACAUUAACAAAGGUAGACACCACCCAACAGGGCAAUGUUAGCUUUGAGGACAAUUGCAUAAUGGUGAGGGCUGGACAGCAAUGUGGUGGGGGCUGUGUGGGGUCACAGGCUACUUGGGUGGGGGGAAGGGUUUCCUGAUGAUAGGUCGACCCCUUUUAGUCAACAUGCGUUAGGUCGACGUCUAAAAGGUAGACAGUGCUUAAGGUCAAUAAGUAAAAAAUAAAUAAAAAAAAUGCAUUUUUUUUUUUUUUUAACCUUUUCAUCACUUAGCAUCCACUUGGACUGCGAUUGUGCGAGGCACCUUGCCCGAAAUGUGGCGAGAGAAGCGAGCUCACGAGGGGGCACCUCUUCACUAGUUUGGCUUACAAAACAUACAAAAUGACACAAAAAAACAUGUUCAUCCGUUUUUCUUUUGUGUUGACCGUUUCUGUGUCAACCAUUUUGCUUGACUCCUUUUGUGGUGUCUACCUUUAUUAAUGUCGACUUAUGGACCCUGUUGACCUUUUGACCCAGUUGACCAUAUAUGGGUGUAGUACGGUAUGCCGGCGCUCAGGCUCCCGGCGACCAGCAUACCGGCGCCGGGAGCCGGACCGCCGGCAUACCGACAGCGUGGCGAGCGCUAAGGAGCCCCCUGCGGGCGCGCUACGCGCGCCACAUUAUUUUAUUCUCCCUCCAGGGGGGUCGUGGACCCCCACGAGGGAGAAUAGCUGUCGGUAUGCCGGGUGUCGGGAUUCCGGCACCAGUAUAAUGUGCGCCGGGAUCCCGACAUUCGGCAUACUGAAGACCACCCGUCCUGUUCCAUAUAAUAAGCCCAAUGCAUUUGGGAUCCGGUUGCAGUGAUAAUAACCCCAUCACUGGCCACAUCAUAGGCUUCAGUGUCCAUGCAACACGGCACAUUUUACUUUUUACCCCACCACAGAAAUGUGAAUUGGUGGUAAAAGCGGUCAAUCAACCACAGUUAGAGCACGGAUGUUUAAAAAUGGCCGGGGCUUUGGGGUUGCAUUAACACGGUCCUACAAAGAGGUGAUAGGACACAGAGAAACGUCCAGGGCUGCGAUAAGCCAUAUGGGGACUGAUGUAGAGUUAAAUGCAGGCCAACUGCAGAGCCAUGUCUAGCAUGUUUUCGCUCUGCACAUGGUCCGCAAUCAAGUGUACACAUAUCUGGGCAACUCCAGUUGCGAGUGAAGGGAUGUAGCGGAGCGCACUCACAUAGCCCAUGUCCAGUGGGGACGCAACAACAGAAUUGCCGGGUGCAAGGUGUAGGCUACGUGUGAAUACGCCUGGGCAGGUUAGUUAUCAUGGACAAUUCCCAACAAGGCUCUUUUAUGGCUGAAUUCUAGCAAGUCAGCAAUGAUGAUUUAUAAAAGUGUUAUUACACAGCAAUUACAGCUCCCAAAAAUGAUUUUGUUUAUUUUUCUUCCAAACCUACAUCAGUGAUGAGACAGUACAGUACUGUGCUGGAGGGUGGCACUAUAUGGGAUACGCGGCUCAGGGCAUGCAACAUUUCCCAUUAUUUAUUUUACACUAAAUAUAUAUAUAUAUAUAUAUAUAUAUAUAUAUAUAUAUAUAUACAUACAUACACACACAUAUACAUACACACA